rnacentral:rRNA from 1 species
UACGGGGGGGGCAAGCGUUGUUCGGAAUUACUGGGCGUAAAGGGCUCGUAGGUGGCCAACUAAGUCAGACGUGAAAUCCCUCGGCUUAACCGGGGAACUGCGUCUGAUACUGGAUGGCUUGAGUUUGGGAGAGGGACGCGGAAUUCCAGGUGUAGCGGUGAAAUGCGUAGAAAUCAGGAGGAACACCGGUGGCGAAGGCGCACAUCUGGCCCGAUACUGACGCUGAGGCGCGAAAGCUAGGGGAGCAAACGGG